rnacentral:lncRNA from 1 species
AUUUGCUCUUUAGUGGUAAAAUUCACACCACAUUUAUGCCAAUUAGACCCAGCCUUGAACACUUUGUGGUCUAAAGAAAACCAAAAUUGAAGGGAAAACUAAUGGUACCAUUUAAUUGAAAUUCCCUAGGCAUAAUAUAGUGUGAUAAGAUAAAAUGUGUAUUGCUAUAAAGGUAUGUUUUGCUUAUUUUGUAAACAAGGAUUAUAUUCUGCUUUGGAGUGCAAGGAGAAAGUCACAGUCUAGUUUUAUGAAGACCAAACUAGAGAAAAUCGAGUUAUCUUAAAGUGUAUGACAUCUCCACAAAUGAAUGUUUAUGGCUUUACACUUGGAGUGUUCUUGGAACACUCUUCAUAGCAAAUCCUCCCUCAGAAGACCCCCACCUGGCAUCAGAACAAACGUGGUGGAAAUCCUGAAAUGCUUCUGGCUCUGGGAUGAAGGCUAAGUCCUUAGGAUGGCUGGCAUUUGUAACUCCUACUGUAGUUCACACCCAUGUGGGCUCAGCACUAGCACAGUGCUUUUCUGAUGUCAUAGAUGAACGGAUGGCAUACAGAAAGUAAGGAGCUUCUCAGGUCUUGGCAGAGUUGCAGGUAGUUUGACUAAAGUUGGACUCCUUAACUGGUGGUGGCUUAAUAGAUAAAACAUUGAAUUUUCUUAUCAAUUUAAAGAAGAAUCUCAUUCCUUUUUGAAGAAAAAACCCCAAAGAUAACUUCCCUGGGGUAGGGUGGGGUGUCUUAGAUUGUUUUUCAGAGUUAGUCAUUCAAAAAUUUAGUCUAAAUAUUCACCCAAUGAGUUUUAUUCCUCCCUUCCAAAUAGCAAUAAAAAUUUUAAAAUAGUCUGGGUUUAUGGAAAACAAACUCCGUAAACAUCAACCUAUUCUUUGUUAUAAGUAAGAAAAAUAUCCAUCUUAAACUGCAACCCUUAAUACAAGAAGAUCUUAUUUAUAAAAUGUAUUUUUAUAUCGUGGCAAAAAUACUAUCCUAAUCCAAAUACAAGUCCAUAUACUUAGUCUGUACUAAUUUUAUGUGUCAGAGGGUUUUUCUUAAGUUCUCUAGCUCAAAAAAAAAUCAAAACUGCAUCUUAAAGAACUCAAAAUUACUGAAGAAAAAAAUUAAUAUAGAAAAAACUUUUGUCUAGACAAUUUAAAUAACUCAAUAGAGCACCUGAUCUUUACUUGAAGCCUAAUAGGGGGCUGAGACCUCAAGGACUUCACUGGCCUUUCUGAUACGGCUAGCCUCAAUAAAUGGAAAUGCAAUAAUUGUGGCUAAAUAUAGCCAAGUGUGCCAGUUUGGGCGUUCAUUCAUUGUUAUAUAAUAUUAUGAUCCUGGGACCAUAAGGAGCAUAUGUCUAGCUCUUGAUAGUUCUAUGUUCUACCAGGAGGCAUUGCAGCAGCAUAAGCCCUCAUGUUUUAAGGUCUAACUUUUCUUUCUGAUAUACCUAAAUUUUAAAGACUUUUUAGUACAUUAAGUUUAUGGUUGUCCCUAACUACUGAGUAGUAAAUUUAGCCUACUAAUUGCUUUUCUGUAUUUUGCCUUAAUAAUAGUAGUUAACAUUUACUGAAUAUUUUUAUGUGCCAGGAGUUGUUCUAAGUCCUUUAAUUAUAUUAGUUUAUUUAGUCCUCAUUUAAAUAAUUAAUUCUAUGUGCCAAAUUCCAUUUAUUAUCUCCAUUUACUAGAUGUGAAGACCCAGUUAUAAUGUUAUAUAACCCCCUAAGUCACACUUUGAGCCACUAUGCUAUGUUGCCUUAUACUUUAGAUUUUUAAGCCUAAAAUUAUUCUAUUAAUAAAAAGGAAGGUCAUAUGAAGUAAUUGUUUAGCAGUUGAUUCUAUUUUAAAUAAAAGGAACAAACCUUUGUAUAAUACUCUCUAUGUUCCAAGCCCAUUAUAAGCACUUUACACAAAUAUUAGUUCAUUUAAUCUUUACUCCAGUCCUGUAAGAUAGGGACAUUAUUAUUCCUAUAGUGUGGAAAAGGAAAUUGAGACACAGAGAGACUAUGUAACUUGUCCAUGGUCACCCAGCUGGUACAUGACAGAAAUUCAGGGAAAAAAUACCAUCACACCAAUUGUUGCAAUUAUUUUAAUUUAACAUUCGAGUCCUGCCACUGCUGUUUGUCUCAGAAUAAAUUGUUCCAUCUUUCUAAAUCUUAGAAACCUCAUUUAUAAAUUAAAGGUGGGGGGAUUCUAUCAUCUAUAAGGCCCUUUCAAAUACUCUUAUUUAUUGUGUACAAAAACCCCUGAAAAGUCACUUACAAAAAAACUUGUUCAUGCCCGUCUGAAGAUUUACGAACUCCAGCUUUUUAUCUGACUGUGCAUUCUGACAAUUUUCUGCAUUUCUCUAAGAAUGGUCUGGAAAGGGAUCUGGCAGGAAAUAAAGAAUAUAUAAAGUAUUUUGAUGGUCUCCAGAAAUGCCCAUUUCAACUCAGCAUCUGCCGACAGGUCUACCUAAUCUUCCAAACUCUGUGUAAAUCCUGGAUCCACCAUUUACCAGCUGUGUAACCCUGGACAACAAUUCCAUCUUUCUGACCUCAGUGUCUUUCUCUGCAAAACAGCGGUAAGAAUGAUCCUACUUCAAUAGAGUUGCUGUGAGGAUUCACUGAGAUCAUGUGUACCAAGCUCCUACAAUAGUACUGAACCCACAGUAAGUACUGAGUGAAAAUUAGCAUUAUUGCAGAUUUCUGCUCCUAUGAAAGUUACGAUUGUGAAUUACUACACUUAUACACUUCCUCUGAAGUCUAAAGAAAUCACAGGCUCCUCCCAAGAUUUGGAAAAUUGAGCUCAUCUUUGUCUAUCUUCAGAAAAAAAAUCUAGUUAAAUUGUUCAAUGGUUAAGUUAGAUAUUAUCUGAUAUGGAACUAAGUUUGUGAGAUAUAAACAGUAUUCUGUCCACCCCUCCUUAGUUAAGCUAAGAGGUAUUAGCUUUAUUAUUUGCUAAAUGUCACUUAGCAUUUGAUAAAUGUAACAUUUACAGUGCAUUCUCCGAGGACUGGAAACAGUAUUGUAGAACACCAGAACCUGUUUUCCCCUUGAAGUAACACGCUAUCUCAGUAUAUAAAUUACCCAGUACCCAAGGUAAUGGAGAAGAAAACCUAAGGAAGUUUGACAUUUACUUUGGAAGUGUGAUAAAGCAAUUGAGACUGUUGAAAUUUAACACUACCUUGAGGUCUUAUUACACUUGCAUGUCACUCCUUAGUGCAAACUCACUUUUGCUUUAUAGAAGAGCCCAAUAUAUUAAUCUACAGCCUUAAAGUGAGUUACCGGUUUAAUGCAGAUCCAAUCUGAGAAUAAAUUAGGCCCUUUUAAAGUGUAUUACAGAAUGUUGAGCUAAUGGUAAUUGACGACGUAUAUUCACUCUUUGCCAAGUUGUAGGUACAAAUGUGAUAUGAUUACAUCCAGGACAAGAGCCUGAAUUUAAGUAAGGCUUUUAGAGCUGAAGAUCAUAGAGAUUAUAUCAUCUACCAGAGGCCCAGAGGGAUUAAGUGAUUUGUCUAAGGUUAUACAGAUAAUAGGUGGAUAUCCCAGAUUUCAGACUAGACUUUCUUGAGCUCAAGUUCAAGGAAGGUCCAUUCUUCUACACUAUGCAUUCAGCAAUAUAUUACAAUGGUAAUAAUAAUUACAAUAACCCCCAUCUAUUGAAUACAUCCUGUGGGCCAAGGGUUCUGGUAAACUCCACACAUAUAAACCCUCCUCUGACCCUGACCCUGUUCUAUUCCUCUCAUAGCUCCAUGAGAUAUGUCUGGUUCUCUUCAUUUUACAGAAAGAUGACUGAGACUCAGAGUUUGUGACUUGUACAAGGCCUCACAGCUAGGAGAUGCCAACAGCUGGGUCCAAUCUCAGCUCGGAAUCUGCACUCUGUCUACAGGACUAGCGCUUUGCCCAAGGAGACCAAAAUGAAGACAUCUUGUCUCCUGGUCUUGAAAAUUAACUAAUUCACUUUUAAUGACAUCAAGUGUAAACAAUCUACCAAAUUAUUAAAACAUUAUCUUUUUGUCUAUGUAGGCCAUGGAUCAAGACCAUUAACUUAUAAUCAGUGAUAGCCAAGAGGAUGGGAAGAGAAUAUUAAGCCUGGUGCUCUGCAAAUUAAUACUUGCAGGUAAAUGAGAAGUAUCAUAGGCAUAUUACUAUUUACUUAACGUUUCAUUCUAUUUGAAAGAGAAAUUCCCAAAUGUUAAAUACUACCCUACAUUUUAAGCUUAAAAAUACGCUGGACAUGCGACAAUGGUGCUGAGUACUUUGGGGGAAGAUCACAACAGUCCUGGUAGCAGUGUCACAGCAAAAUAUUUCAGAGGUACCAGAUGAGCUAGCUCCAAGGCAAAUGAGGCAAUAUUAUGUUUAACUGUUUGUUCGGAAACUUCUUUUAUUAAAAAAGAUUUUAAAUAUUAAUGCUAUUUUCAAUACAGGUGUGAUAACACUCAAUAAAGCAUGGUGUACUUG